rnacentral:rRNA from 1 species
CUGUGAACUCGAAGAGUAGGGCGGGACACGUGGUAUCCUGUCUGAAUAUGGGGGGACCAUCCUCCAAGGCUAAAUACUCCUGACUGACCGAUAGUGAACCAGUACCGUGAGGGAAAGGCGAAAAGAACCCCGGCGAGGGGAGUGAAAAAGAACCUGAAACCGUGUACGUACAAGCAGUGGGAGCACCUUCGGGUGUGACUGCGUACCUUUUGUAUAAUGGGUCAGCGACUUAUAUUCUGUAGCAAGGUUAACCGUAUAGGGGAGCCGCAGGGAAACCGAGUCUUAACUGGGCGUUAAGUUGCAGGGUAUAGACCCGAAACCCGGUGAUCUAGCCAUGGGCAGGUUGAAGGUUGGGUAACACUAACUGGAGGACCGAACCGACUAAUGUUGAAAAAUUAGCGGAUGACUUGUGGCUGGGGGUGAAAGGCCAAUCAAACCGGGAGAUAGCUGGUUCUCCCCGAAAGCUAUUUAGGUAGCGCCUCGUGAACUCAUCUUCGGGGGUAGAGCACUGUUUCGGCUAGGGGGUCAUCCCGACUUACCAACCCGAUGCAAACUACGAAUACCGAAGAAUGUUAUCACGGGAGACACACGGCGGGUGCUAACGUCCGUCGUGAAGAGGGAAACAACCCAGACCGCCAGCUAAGGUCCCAAAGUCAUGGUUAAGUGGGAAACGAUGUGGGAAGGCACAGACAGCCAGGAUGUUGGCUUAGAAGCAGCCAUCAUUUAAAGAAAGCGUAAUAGCUCACUGGUCGAGUCGGCCUGCGCGGAAGAUGUAACGGGGCUAAACCAUGCACCGAAGCUGCGGCAGCGACACUAUGUGUUGUUGGGUAGGGGAGCGUUCUGUAAGCCUGCGAAGGUGUGCUGUGAGGCAUGCUGGAGGUAUCAGAAGUGCGAAUGCUGACAUAAGUAACGAUAAAGCGGGUGAAAAGCCCGCUCGCCGGAAGACCAAGGGUUCCUGUCCAACGUUAAUCGGGGCAGGGUGAGUCGACCCCUAAGGCGAGGCCGAAAGGCGUAGUCGAUGGGAAACAGGUUAAUAUUCCUGUACUUGGUGUUACUGCGAAGGGGGGACGGAGAAGGCUAUGUUAGCCGGGCGACGGUUGUCCCGGUUUAAGCAUGUAGGCUGGUUGUCCAGGCAAAUCCGGAUAAUCAAGGCUGAGGUGUGAUGACGAGGCACUACGGUGCUGAAGUAACAAAUGCCCUGCUUCCAGGAAAAGCCUCUAAGCAUCAGGUAACAUCAAAUCGUACCCCAAACCGACACAGGUGGUCAGGUAGAGAAUACCAAGGCGCUUGAGAGAACUCGGGUGAAGGAACUAGGCAAAAUGGUGCCGUAACUUCGGGAGAAGGCACGCUGGUGUGUAGGUGAAGCCCCUGCGGGUGGAGCUGAGACCAGUCGAAGAUACCAGCUGGCUGCAACUGUUUAUUAAAAACACAGCACUGUGCAAACACGAAAGUGGACGUAUACGGUGUGACGCCUGCCCGGUGCCGGAAGGUUAAUUGAUGGGGUUAUCCGUAAGGAGAAGCUCUUGAUCGAAGCCCCGGUAAACGGCGGCCGUAACUAUAACGGUCCUAAGGUAGCGAAAUUCCUUGUCGGGUAAGUUCCGACCUGCACGAAUGGCGUAAUGAUGGCCAGGCUGUCUCCACCCGAGACUCAGUGAAAUUGAACUCGCUGUGAAGAUGCAGUGUACCCGCGGCAAGACGGAAAGACCCCGUGAACCUUUACUAUAGCUUGACACUGAACAUUGAGCCUUGAUGUGUAGGAUAGGUGGGAGGCUUUGAAGCGUGGACGCCAGUCUGCGUGGAGCCAACCUUGAAAUACCACCCUUUAAUGUUUGAUGUUCUAACGUUGGCCCCUUACCGGGGUUGCGGACAGUGUCUGGUGGGUAGUUUGACUGGGGCGGUCUCCUCCCAAAGCGUAACGGAGGAGCACGAAGGUUAGCUAAUCCUGGUCGGACAUCAGGAGGUUAGUGCAAUGGCAUAAGCUAGCUUGACUGCGAGCGUGACGGCGCGAGCAGGUGCGAAAGCAGGUCAUAGUGAUCCGGUGGUUCUGAAUGGAAGGGCCAUCGCUCAACGGAUAAAAGGUACUCCGGGGAUAACAGGCUGAUACCGCCCAAGAGUUCAUAUCGACGGCGGUGUUUGGCACCUCGAUGUCGGCUCAUCACAUCCUGGGGCUGAAGUAGGUCCCAAGGGUAUGGCUGUUCGCCAUUUAAAGUGGUACGCGAGCUGGGUUUAGAACGUCGUGAGACAGUUCGGUCCCUAUCUGCCGUGGGCGCUGGAGAAUUGAGGGGGGCUGCUCCUAGUACGAGAGGACCGGAGUGGACGCAUCACUGGUGUUCGGGUUGUCAUGCCAAUGGCACUGCCCGGUAGCUAAAUGCGGAAGAGAUAAGUGCUGAAAGCAUCUAAGCACGAAACUUGCCCCGAGAUGAGUUCUCCCUGAGACUUUAAGUCUCCUGAAGGAACGUUAAAGACGAUGACGUUGAUAGGCCGGGUGUGUAAGCGCAGCGAUGCGUUGAGCUAACCGGUACUAAUGAACCGUGAGGCUUAACCUUACAACGCCGAAG